CACUUGGACGACCUCCUCCCCAGCUGCUCGUUGUCCACCGUGUCCGUCGUCCACCCCACUUUCUUCUCCGGUUUCCGCUUCCGCAGCUUCAGGGUCAGACUGCGGUUCUCCGGCUCCGGGCCGCCGCUCUCUGUGACGGUCGCGGUUCCGCAGCCGCCGCUCUCCGCCGCCUCCGCCAUCGCCGCCCCGCGCGGGGCCUCCGCUCCGCACUUCCGCCCCGGGCUCUGUCCGGUACUUCCGGUACGGCGUCUAACGCUCGGAGCCCUUCCGGUGCGACACUUCCGGUCGGUGCUCAGCGGACAAGUGCCGUUCCCGGUGACACUUCCGGUUGCUCACUUCCGGCGAGAGCGCUGCUUGCCGAGGCUUCCGGUUUGCC
rnacentral:lncRNA from 1 species